CGAGGGCUCAUUGUUGGACACGGAGAGGUGGAGGUGUAUGCGUCUGUGUUUUUCAAGUUGCUAAGGUCCUUGAGGAGAGGGAUGCGGGGACAGUUCCAGGGUGUCCGAUGUCCUCUUCUGUUCUCCGAAGAUACCGGGUAUGCUCAUGGCACAUACACAUGCAGGAAGACAAAACACUCAUACACUUAAAAAAAAAAUCUAGCUCAAAGAGCCCCCCCCCCCCAAUUUCCUGAAGAACACAACGGAGCUGUGAAGAAUUUCUGAAGGCCUCAGGCCUACCAAGUGCUGUCCGGCUGUCCCUUGCACUGCCAUUGAGGUUUCACAGGCUUCUCCAGUCUCAACAAGAUGAAGAGAAUUUUUCCCAAGGGUCUCUGCAGCAGAGCCUCCAACUGGCCGUUUCCUUCAUGCGGGGACUACCUGGCGAGAUAGGCUCAGGAUUGGAGGCCUGGAGAAUCCAGGUCUCCCUGGCUUUCUUACCCUAGCUCUGAUUCAUGCAGCUAAUUAAUUAAUUAAUUGAUUGAUUAAUUAAUGUAUCAAAUGAGCACAGAAACUUUACAAGUCAGUAUU